AAUAGAAUUCAUCCAUGAGCUAAUAAACCAUGAUCCCAAACAUGCAUUUUGGAGUCCAAAGAUGUGAAAGUAGAUGAUGCCAUAAUUUUAUACCAUUUCAAGACCUAAACCGCACAUCAUUUGUCAUAUCAAAAUUAUCGAGAUCCAAAUAAAUCAUGACAAUCCUGCAAAUGAUAUAUAUCAUAGCCAAAUAUAGGAGAAUAGAUAUGCCAGCAACCUCCAAAUUUGAUCAAAUCUCAGAGUCCAAACAAAACAAACAUGAUCCAAUUCAUUGAUCCAACAUCAUCAUGACCAUGAAAAUCUAACCAAAAGAUUCUCAUAUUUUCAUAACAAAAAUUCAAGCACUCCAACAAUAGCAUCACAUGAAAUACUAGUGUCUAAAAUCUGAUACACUAAUGCCCG
rnacentral:lncRNA from 1 species